rnacentral:hammerhead_ribozyme from 1 species
AUCCGGGUGACGAGUCCCAAAUAGGACGAAGUGUGCAUCCUGGCUGGAU